rnacentral:rRNA from 1 species
CUGGCUCAGGACGAACGCUGGCGGCGUGCCUAAUACAUGCAAGUCGAACGGUCUUUCUAUGGAAGCUUGCUCCACUGAGAAGAUAGUGGCGAACGGGUGAGUAACACGUGGGUAACCUGCCCGAUAAGAGGGGGGAGUAACAUCCGGAAACGGGUGCUAAUACCGCAUAGUUUUCUUGAUCGCAUGAUCGGGAAAGGAAAGACGGCCUUUGUGCUGCCGCUUAUGGAUGGACCCGCGGCGUAUUAGUUAGUUGGUGAGGUAACGGCUCACCAAGACGAUGAUACGUAGCCGACCUGAGAGGGUGAUCGGCCACAUUGGGACUGAGACACGGCCCAAACUCCUACGGGAGGCAGCAGUAGGGAAUCUUCCGCAAUGGACGAAAGUCUGACGGAGCAACGCCGCGUGAGUGAAGAAAGGUUUUCGGAUCGUAAAACUCUGUUGUCAGAGAAGAACAAGUUGGAGAGUAACUGCUCCAGCCUUGACGGUAUCUGACCAGAAAGCCACGGCUAACUACGUGCCAGCCGCCGC